AGUGAACGCUGGCGGUAGGCCUAACACAUGCAAGUCGAACGGCAGCACAGUAAGAGCUUGCUCUUACGGGUGGCGAGUGGCGGACGGGUGAGGAAUACAUCGGAAUCUACUUUUUCGUGGGGGAAAACGUAGGGAAACUUACGCUAAUACCGCAUACGACCUACGGGUGAAAGCAGGGGAUCUUCGGACCUUGCGCGAUUGAAUGAGCCGAUGUCGGAUUAGCUAGUUGGCGGGGUAAAGGCCCACCAAGGCGACGAUCCGUAGCUGGUCUGAGAGGAUGAGUAGCCACACUGGGACUGAGACACGGUCCAGACUCCUACGGGAGGCAGCAGUGGGGAAUAUUGGACAAUGGGCGCAAGCCUGAUCCAGCCAUACCGCGUGGGUGAAGAAGGCCUUCGGGUUGUAAAGCCCUUUUGUUGGGAAAGAAAAGCAGCAGGUUAAUACCCCGCUGUUCUGACGGUACCCAAAGAAUAAGCACCGGCUAACUUCGUG
rnacentral:rRNA from 1 species